rnacentral:misc_RNA from 1 species
AGCUGACUCCUUUUCAAUAGAAAGUAACAGCCAAGUCGAAACAGGGCCUCAUAUAAUGCAGUGACUUCUGAGCAUUCAUCAAAUGUCAAGUAUGAUCUUACAGGAGUUGCUUUGACAAAAUGCCUGACAUAAAUUUGUUUUCUUAAGAUAAAUUGUGCUACUGAUCGACAACUGUUUGCAAAAUUGCAUUCAUGGGCAAUGAUUUCUAAAAAUUUAAGACCUCAUUAAAAUCCUAAACAGUUGUGACCUUCUGAGCUUUUGUUGGCCGCUGGGUUGGAUAAUCAUUUUCUUUUGAGUGGGAGCUUCUGCCUUCAGACCGUCUUCCACCUUUAUUAGAUUUGCCUUUCCUCUCUUUUAAGUGGGAGCUUCUGCCUUCAGAUUGUCCUCCACAUUUACUGGAUUUGUGUUUCCUGCCCGGCUCAAACAAAAGAUAUACAAUUUUGGAAAUCAAUGAUAGCCAGACCAAAAAAUAAGAGCAAAUUUCUUUGAAAUAUUGCCAAUGGAAGGGAUAAAAGAAAGGGGACCACUAUUUCCAGUUACAGAAGGGUUGCUUGCACAUAUGGGGCAAGUAUCCACCACUAAAAUCAACAUGGAGCCAUGCAUAGAAGCAGUCCUUCCAUGUGUUAAAACACAGUUCCCAUUAUACACAAAAUAUUACACACAAGCACAAGAAGCAUGGCACAUGCAUACCGUUUUCUAUCAUCUCUACUUUCCUGGCAACCUUCCUCCUUAAGAUCAUGCAUAUUCCAGUGCUCCUCUUCAGUCUUAGCAAUAACUGCUUCAAAUGAAACAAAGAAAUUCUUCACAAUGAGACCUUCUUCAAUAAAUUCUGCAGCAGCACAGGCUUUUAUAGCUCCUUCUGGUUCUUGAAAAUGAAUGCAACCUGAAGCUGCUCCCUCAUGAUAGUCAACACACUUAACAGCACCGAACCUUUGGAAGACAUCCUUUAGGUCCUCACACAAGAGAAUGUCCUUUUCUCCAUGGACAAAAGUAGUGCACCCUCCCCCCCUGGUUACUUUCUCAUUACUCACUUGACAAACUCUUUCAGAAGAUUGGUCUCUAUCACCGAAAAUAGCAUCUUGCAGAUCCUCUGCCUUGCUCUCUUCAGAAAUGAUCUCUUUGGAAUUAUUUUUAGUCUUCAAAAUGCUAUUUUCACUAUUUACAAUUUCUUGAGAGACAAUCUGACAACUCUUUUCAACUGUUUUGCAAGUUUCCUUCAGUGGGCUUUCUGAAAUAUCGUCAGAGACGUUUUCAAUCCCUUUAACAACACGAACAUUGGAGUCCAAAUUCUUGUCUUCUUUACAAACACCUCCACUGUCAGUAACUUGCUCAACAUUGCCUCCAUUUUUUACUGGUUUCCCAGUUGAUUUCCUCUUCAGUGAAAAUGCAACCAUUGAACCUUUGGGAUAGUUGGAUGUUGUGCUGGCAUUAUUCUUAUGAUUUGAGCAGUCUUUCCCAAUUUGCUCUGUCAAUUUUGCUCUCUCAGAAUCAAACUCCUUUUUUGGCUUUAACUCUAAAAUGGCUCCAGCGUAAACUAAAGUUUGCUUGAAGAUAUCUUUCACAUCUGCAUCUGUAGAAAACUCAAUCAAAGCCGUGCCACAAAAAACCCUUUUGUCUGCCACAUGACGAGGAAGCCUCACACUAUUAACCUUGCUAAAUUUAGCAAAGAAAGAUUCCACAUUUUCCAUCGUAACAUCAUACUGAAAAGGCGAGGCAGCAAUUGUUCUUUCAUCCAUUUGCUGAAUAACUUCUUCUGGCUUUGACAGCUCCUUAACCCUACCCACCUUUUUCCCAUCAUCAGAAACUUUAAGAAAAUCCGAUUUCCGUAGAAUCUCAGCAACUGAUUUUAGCACCCUAUAGGGAAUGUCAUCUUGUCUUAUUUUACCCAGUCCCAGAAAAGCUCUGAUUCUAGAGAAUGAGCAUACAAGGCCCAAGCUAACCAUGCCAUCUUUGCCUUGAGAGACUUUCUUCAUAAGGAAAUCAUCUCGAGGUAAAUUGCUGUCGCUGAAGUAGAACUCCACCUGACGAAGGAGUUUUUUUGCGGUUUCUUCGUCCAAUGAAGCCAUUGGAGCCUAAUCACUCAGAGAGAGAGAGAGAAACAGGGAGCAGCUCCGGCCUCCAGGUUUUUGGCGGUUGAUAAUGACAACUUGAGAGGAGCAGUGCGCUGUGCCGCGGUGGUCGUGGGCUUUUGAGAG